GACGAACGCUGGCGGCGUGCCUAAUACAUGCGAGUUGAGCGCUGAAGGUUGGUACUUGUACCAACUGGAUGAGCAGCGAACGGGUGAGUAACGCGUGGGGAAUCUGCCUUUGAGCGGGGGACAACAUUUGGAAACGAAUGCUAAUACCGCAUAAAAACUUUAAACACAAGUUUUAAGUUUGAAAGAUGCAAUUGCAUCACUCAAAGAUGAUCCCGCGUUGUAUUAGCUAGUUGGGGAGGUAAAGGCUCACCAAGGCGAUGAUACAUAGCCGACCUGAGAGGGUGGUCGGCCACAAUGGGACUUGGACACGGCCCAAACUCCUACGGGGGGCAGCAGUAGGGAAACUUCGGCAAUGGACGAAAGUCUGACCGAGCAACGCCGCGUGAGUGAAGAAGGUUUUCGGAUCGUAAAACUCUGUUGGUAGAGAAGAACGUUGGUGAGAGUGGAAAGCUCAUCAAGUGACGGUAACUACCCAGAAAGGGACGGCUAACUACGUG
rnacentral:rRNA from 1 species